GGGAGCUGAGGGAGGCCAAGGGGGGAUGAAUUCAGGAGAGAAAAAAGGCAUCCCUUUCCCUGUGCUCACCCAGGGAAUGCAGGAAAAUAAAAUCAGCGUGGAGUGCACUGAAGGAAAAUAUCCAGGUCAGGUGGAUUAGAAGGAGAUCCGGUACCAAAUACACAGGGACCAGGUGUUGUUUAUUCAGUGCUGUGCACUCGUUGUGGGAAAAUCCCCCCCAUAAACACUGAACAAUCGAGGGAAGGCAAAGGGGUCUGGGGAGGGAUGGUGGUAAGCGAGGCAAUGCUGUAUCUUUAAUUUUCUUUUCUGAAGGAAGAAAGUCUGCAUAGCAAUGACAGGAGCACUUGUUCAUGCCUUUAAUGUGUGAUCUGUUUUCUCCAGUGGAGGGCACUCAGUGUAUCACAAACUAGAACAUUAGCACCAACAAGCUCCAAAGCAUCAUCACUCUCUGGAAAGCCUUCUGAAUUAGACAGGAGCUGCCUCUCAGCACAGCUACAAAACACUUUAAACCUGAC
rnacentral:lncRNA from 1 species